rnacentral:tRNA from 2 species
GCGGAUAUAGCUCAGUUGGUUAGAGCGUUGGUUUGUGGUACCAAAUGUCGCCGGUUCGAGUCCGGUUAUCCGCCCCA